rnacentral:lncRNA from 1 species
GUUUGGUUGAAUGGUUCAUGAGUAAAUGCACGGACACAACAUUUUUUAAACUUUCAAGAACUGUAACUCCUGAACGGUAAAAGUCAAAAUCGUCAUUAUCGAACUUGACCUCCAUUUUGUUGUCAGUAACAACAUAUUAAAAUUUUAAAAGGUUUGGUUGACUGGUUCAUGAGUAAAUGCACGGACACGACAUUUUUUAAACUUUCAAGAACCGUAACUCCUGAACGGUAAAAGUAAAAAUCGUCAUUAUUGAACUUGACCUCCGUUAUGUUGUCAGUAACAACAUAUUAAAAUUUUAAAAGGUUUGGUUGAACGGUUCAUGAGUAAAUGCACG